AUACGGAGGGUGCAAGCGUUACUCGGAAUCACUGGGCGUAAAGCGCGCGCAGGCGGCUUGAUAAGUUGGAUGUGAAAGCCUACGGCUCAACCGUAGAACUGCAUCCAAAACUGUCAGGCUAGAGUGUGGGAGAGGAAGAUGGAAUUAGUUGUGUAGGGGUAAAAUCCGUAGAGAUAACUAGGAAUACCAAAAGCGAAGGCAAUCUUCUGGAACACUUCUGACGCUGAGGCGCGAAAGCGUGGGGAGCAAACAGGAUUAGAAACCCCAGUAGUCC
rnacentral:rRNA from 1 species